rnacentral:rRNA from 1 species
AGUAAACGGCGGCCGUAACUAUAACGGUCCUAAGGUAGCGAAAUUCCUUGUCGGGUAAGUUCCGACCCGCACGAAUGGUGUAACGAUCUGGGCACUGUCUCAACUACCCACCCGGCGAAAUUGUAGUACCGGUGAAGAUGCCGGUUACCUGCGGCAAGACGGAAAGACCCCAUGGAGCUUUACUGUAGCCUGAUAUUGGGUUUCGGAAAUCUAUGUACAGGAUAGGCGGGAGACUAGGAAACAUGAGCGUCAGCUUGUGUGGAGUCGAUGUUGGGAUACCGCCCUUAGGUUUCUGGAAUUCUAACCUGCGGCCGUGAAUCCGGUCGGGGGACAUUGUCAGGUGGGCAGUUUGACUGGGGCGGUCGCCUCCGAAAAGGUAACGGAGGCGCUCAAAGGUUAGCUCAGCACGGACGGAAACCGUGCCUCUGAGUGUAAACGCAAAAGCUAGCCUAACUGCGAGGGUGACGGCCCGAGCAGUAACGAAAGUUGGAGUUAGUGAUCCGGCGGUAUGUGAAUGGAAAUGCCGUCGCUCAACGGAUAAAAGCUACCCUGGGGAUAACAGGCUGAUCUCCCCCAAGAGUCCACAUCGACGGGGAGGUUUGGCACCUCGAUGUCGGCUCAUCGCAUCCUGGGGCUGUAUUCGGUCCCAAGGGUUUGGCUGUUCGCCAAUUAAAGCGGUACGCGAGCUGGGUUCAGAACGUCGUGAGACAGUUCGGUCCCUAUCUGUCGUGGGCGCAGGAUAUUUGAGGAGCUCUGUCCUUAGUACGAGAGGACCGGGAUGGACGUACCUCUGGUGCACCAGUUGUCAUGCCAAUGGCACGGCUGGGCAGCUAUGUACGGAACGGAUAAACGCUGAAAGCAUCUAAGCGUGAAGCCGACUCCAAGAUUAGAUAUCCCAUCGUAUAACGAGUAAGACCCCUUGAAGACUACGAGGUUGAUAGGCUGCGUGUGUAAGUGCCGUGAGGCAUUCAGCUUGGCAGUACUAAUAGGUCGAGGGCUUGACCAC